UGGGGAAUAUUGGACAAUGGGCGCAAGCCUGAUCCAGCCAUGCCGCGUGAGUGAUGAAGGCCCUAGGGUUGUAAAGCUCUUUCACCGGUGAAGAUAAUGACGGUAACCGGAGAAGAAGCUCCGGCUAACUUCGUGCCAGCAGCCGCGGUAAUACGAAGGGGGUUAGCGUUGUUCGGAUUUACUGGGCGUAAAUCGCACGUAGGUGAACUUUUAAGUCAGGGGUGAAAUCCCGGGGCUCAACCCCGGAACUGCCUUUGAUACUGGAAGUCUUGAGUAUGGUAGAAGUGAGUGGAAUUCCGAGUGUAGAGGUGAAAUUCGUAGAUAUUCGGAGGAAAACCAGUGGAGAAGGCGGCUCACUGGACCAUUACUGUCGCUGAGAUGCGAAAGCGUGGGGAGCAAACAGG
rnacentral:rRNA from 1 species